rnacentral:rRNA from 1 species
UACGUAGGGUGCGAGCGUUAAUCGGAAUUACUGGGCGUAAAGCGUGCGCAGGCGGUCUGUUAAGACCGAUGUGAAAUCCCCGGGCUUAACCUGGGAACUGCAUUGGUGACUGGCAGGCUUUGAGUGUGGCAGAGGGAGGUAGAAUUCCACGUGUAGCUGUGAAAUGCGUAGAGAUGUGGAGGAAUACCGAUGGCGAAGGCAGCCUCCUGGGCCAACACUGACGCUCAUGCACGAAAGCGUGGGGAGCAAACAGG